rnacentral:rRNA from 1 species
CCUUGAGUUCUGGGCCGCACGCGCGCUACACUGACAGAGCCAACGAGUUCUUCACCUUGGCCGAAAGGUCUGGGUAAUCUUGUUAAACUCUGUCGUGCUGGGGAUAGAGCAUUGCAAUUAUUGCUCUUCAACGAGGAAUGCCUAGUAAGCGCGUGUCAUCAGCAUGCGUUGAUUACGUCCCUGACCUUUGUACACACCGCCCGUCGCUACUACCGAUUGAAUGGCUCAGUGAGGCGUUCGGACUGGCUCGGGGAGGUUGGCAACGACCACCCCAAGCCGGAAAGUUCGUCAAACUCGGUCAUUUAGAGGAAGUAAAAGUCGUAACAAGGUCUCCGUAGGUGAACCUGCGGAGGGAUCAUUACACAACAAAAAUAUGAGGGUGUGGUUUGCUGGCAACAGCGUCCGCCCCAAGUAUUUUUCACCCAUGUCUUUUGCGCACUUUUUGUUUCCUGGGCGAGUUCGCUCGCCACCAGGACCCAACCAUAAACCUUUUUUUAUGCAGUUGCAAUCAGCGUCAGUAUAAUAAUUCAAUUUAUUAAAACUUUCAACAACGGAUCUCUUGGUUCUGGCAUCGAUGAAGAACGCAGCGAAAUGCGAUACGUAGUGUGAAUUGCAGAAUUCAGUGAAUCAUCGAAUCUUUGAACGCACAUUGCGCCCUUUGGUAUUCCAAAGGGCAUGCCUGUUCGAGCGUCAUUUGUACCCUCAAGCUUUGCUUGGUGUUGGGCGUCUUUUUGUCUCUCCCCUUGUUGGGGGAGACUCGCCUUAAAACGAUUGGCAGCCGACCUACUGGUUUUCGGAACGCAACACAAAUUUGCGCCUUCCAAUCCACAGGGCGGCAUCC